CACCUUGAACAUUAUUCAUUAUUUUCUUCCUUUUUCUAGGGUUUCUGGCCCGCUCCAUUGUUUAACUCUAAUCUCGACCUGCUAGCUGCGUCAAAGCAUGAAGCUAUCCUUCUCGAUCUCCUCAAAAUCCUCCUCUUCUCGCCCUCCUACCUCAAAACCUCCCCAAUCUUUCAAUUCUAGCGGCGACCGCAAUCAUGAAGGUGGCCUCGAUGACGAAGCCAAGCCGCAUUUUGUCACUGUCUUUGAUCCAUCAGAAAAUCCAUCUUCUGAUUCCACCUUGCAGCGCGUCAGCACUCCCAUCCCCAACUCUGAUUACCGGUCUAACAUGAAGAUGAAGAACCUCCCUCUUCCUACUACCGAUGAACCAGCAACCGAGACCCGAUUCGUGCUCGAAGCCUUUUCUGGCAACGGCUCCUCCGAAGCCAGUGGAUACGGCCUGAUGCUUCGCUCUAAUGGUGUGGAUGCUAAUUCCCAAGAAGGCGAUGCUCGAAUGUCAGAGAAGAGAUUUCAGGAAGCGAUAAAAGAUUUACCCGAUGAUGGGCCCCCCGAUGUCCCCGUUGAGGGUUUUGGGGUAGCUAUCUUAGCCGGGGAGGGUUGGGUUGAGGGGAAGCCUAUUGGGCGAAACGGUAAGGAGGAUCCAAAGGUUUUUGAGUAUAAAAGAAGGGCAGGGACUGAGGGGUUUGGGUAUGAGCCGCAAGCGCUUAAUUUAGGGAAGAAAAGCCAGAAGGAGGAGAUCGCCGCUGGAUUCAAAUCAAUUAAUGGGAAGGAUGAUCGUACUAAUGGUAGGGAUGAACGAAAGUUUGAGCGUAGAGAGAAUGAGAAAACGGGCAAGGAUAGAAGGUAUGAGGAAAGAAGUAAGGAGGAGAAGAGGAGAAAGCAUGAUGUUACUACAACUGCAGUGAGAAGUCCAGUUCGGUGGUUGACAAGUCAUAUUAGGGUCAGAAUAAUCAGUAAAAAGUUUGGAGGGAAACUGUAUCUUAAGAAAGGUGAGGUGGUGGAUGUUGUUGGCCCUACAACUUGUGAUAUUAGGAUGGAUGAAAGCGGGGAGCUUGUGCAGGGAGUGGAUCAAGAGAUAUUAGAGACUGCUCUUCCAAAACGCGGGGGGUCGGUGCUUAUUCUGUAUGGUAAACAUAAGGGUGUGUAUGGGAGUUUGGUGGAGAGGGAUUCUGAAAAGGAGACAGCGUUAGUCAGAGAUGCAGAUAGCCAUGCUUUGAUUAAUGUACUGCUUGAGCAUGUUGCUGAGUAUGUUGGAGACCCCAGCGAUCUUGGUUAUUGAAUUUUUAUGCGAUUCAGUGGCGGCCAUAAAAGAACCAAAAUUCUGAUGCAUGAGAGCAUGACAUUAUGUACGAGAAAAACAAUCAAAAUGGCAUGCAAGUUUAUGGGAUAUUUGAGGUACAAUUCAUGUAGUGCUGAAUUUCUGAUGCACAUCAGUUCUGAUGCAAAUCAGUAGCAUACAACAGGUUUAUAGGUUAUUUGAAUAACAAAGUCAUGUUAUAUUCAUGAAGAUUUUAACUUCUUGUUCUUUUCAUGUAAUCCUUAUUGCAUCAGAUAUGCAACACUCCUGAGAUAUCUGAGAUGCAACCCAUAUUAUUUGUAAGCAGACUUGGUUUUCUUUUAUUUAACGCAACUCAGA